UCAGACAGGCCAGUUCAGCUAUGCCCCCCGCCCCAGCAACCUCAGGAUCUGAACCUGCAACUCUUCCACCACUGCAGCAGAACAGAGGAGAGUUCAGUCCAGCGGGACCAGAGGAGAUGAGCAGCCAGAAGAGAUCCAGAAGAUGCUGUAUGAGCGGAUGUUCGUCAACUGAACCCCCUCCCUCCAGAAUCC